UAUUUCUAAUGUAAAACUUUACUUCAAUUGAUAUAAAGUAGAUGUAAAAAUAUGUAAAGAAAAGUUGCAUGGGGGAAUAUGAUUUUAUCAUCAAUAAAUUCCUUAUAGAUCUCAUGAUGAUAUUUACAUGUGAAUGUUGAUCGUUUAUGUUCUUGACAUAUCAAUGAAGUGUGUUGAUGGUAAUACCUUAAAGAAGGAUUUAAUUGUAGUUAUAAGGGAUUGAAGGAAAAAAUGUGCAGAAGUUAGCAUGCUUUUUCGGUUAAUUUGUUAUCCAAAGUUUAAGGAUGAGCCCAACACUUGAAUUUUACCCCUAAAGCCAAUACUCAGUAAGAAUUUUUGAUGCAUUUGUAAUUUCUUUAUUAGUUUGGCUUUACUUAUCAUUCAUGUGAUGAUGUUAUUAAACCUUAGAUUUUGUGCCAUUUAAAAGGAAUGUAAAUCUUAGAGAUAAAAAUGUGAUGUUUCUUUCUCUCCUGGUUACAUUUCUGAAAUAUUGAGAUUUGUUUUGCACCUGAUCUAUGGGAAGAUAAUUAGUGAACUGGAGU